UGUAGUGUGAGUGUCGUUAAAGAUAAUAAUAUGUGGCAUGUGCAUGACGCAUGUGUGAUGUGUCAUUAUUUAUAUAUAUGUGGAGCGGAGCGACGUGUGUGUCUUCUUUGAAAAAAAAAAUAGUCCGUACCUAUUAUUCAUUUUUUUUUUGCUUCCUCUCCCUGCGACCUUGUACGCUCAUAUUAUGUUGAUUGUGGACUGUCGAUGGUUAUUCAUUUCGUCGUAAAUUAUUCGUGACAAAGGCGUUUGUUUGACCGUCGUAAAAAGAAUACAUAUAAAUAAUAAAAUCAACAUUUUUAUCAGUCGUAUUUUUGCCGAUUCGGGAAAUAUAAUAAUUAUUACUAAGUACUCUUCUUUAUUCCUCGAAUGUAUUGACUGUUGAGUGUUCAGUCACGCAUGUGCUCUAUUGCGAUCAAAUGUAUUAAAUUUACUGCAUCACUGUCUGGAAAAUAUUGUCAUGGAUUUCAAUUACCUAUUGGUGUGUGCGGUGUUAUUGAUUCCGAUUAGCAGUGGUGUGUCAUUUUAUGAAGUUGAUGAUGUCUUUGAGUUGACUACCAAAGUGUUUGAUUUCGUCAGCAAGUCAUGGGAGGUUGCUGAUAAGGUGGAAGAACGUUUGGGCAGUGAAAAUACUCCACUCGUGUGGUUCACAAAAAAAAAAAACACAAGAUUUUAUCUUACUUUGGACAUAUCACUCACCUCGUGCAAAUGACCCAAAAGGAAACAAACGACAUCAGGACUAUGACGUUGGUUAGUCUUAAAAGGUUGCAAUCUAUGUCUGAUGCUGUUUUGAAUGGAAUGCAAAUUAAUGAACUUGUGGAGUCUGUUAGAUAGAUUGAAAAUGAUUUUAGUACUAUGGAAGAGUAUAAAUAUGAAGAAAAAGAUUAGAACUAAAAAAAUGUAAAUCCUGCAUAUACAUCUUAUACAUUAGAGAAAUUUGCUGAUGCAAUGUUGACAUAUUCUGCUGGAUCUCUUCAUAAGCAGUUGGCAAAAAUUCACUCUUUCAUUGUUCCGGAAUGGGAGGGAUUCAAAUUUCAUACACAUGGCGGUAAUUUCAAUAUUUUAAGACA